rnacentral:rRNA from 1 species
ACGAACGCUGGCGGCGUGCUUAACACAUGCAAGUCGAACGGAAAGGCCCUGCUUUUGUGGGGUGCUCGAGUGGCGAACGGGUGAGUAACACGUGAGUAACCUGCCCUUGACUUUGGGAUAACUUCAGGAAACUGGGGCUAAUACCGGAUAGGAGCUCCUGCUGCAUGGUGGGGGUUGGAAAGUUUCGGCGGUUGGGGCUGGACUCGCGGCUUAUCAGCUUGUUGGUGGGGUAGUGGCUUACCAAGGCUUUGACGGGUAGCCGGCCUGAGAGGGUGACCGGCCACAUUGGGACUGAGAUACGGCCCAGACUCCUACGGGGGGCAGCAGUGGGGAAUAUUGCACAAUGGGCGGAAGCCUGAUGCAGCAACGCCGCGUGCGGGAUGACGGCCUUCGGGUUGUAAACCGCUUUCGCCUGUGACGAAGCGUGAGUGACGGUAAUGGGUAAAGAAGCACCGGCUAACUACGUG